AGGAGUGACCUAGAAGAGUGAAACACACCUUCAUGAAUAUUCACAGCUCCUCCUGUAACCUGUUAAAUAUGUUUAACCAUUCUGCUAUCAGAUCACCAUAGAAGCUGCGGGUACAACUGAUAGUGCAGAACUUAAUUAUUAAUCAAUUUAAUAGUUAAGAUUGAAUGCUGGCUGGGCACGGUGGUUCACACAUGUAAUCCCAGCACUUUGGGAGGCUGAGGCAGGUGGCUCACAUGAGGCCAGGAGUUCGAGACCAGCCUGGCCAACAUGGUGAAACCCCAUCUCUACUAAAAAUUUUAAAAACCUUAGCCAGGCAUGGUGGUGCACACCUGUAAUCCCAGCUACUCAGGAGGCUGAGGCACGAGAGUUGCUUGAACCCAGGAGGCAGAGGUUGCAGUGAGCUGAGAUCACACUACUACACUCCAGCCUGGGCCACAGAAUGAGUCUCUGUCUCAAAAAAAAAAGAUUGAAUGCUGUGUACUUCCAGGAUAAUUCUGGAAACAUCCUCAGCCCUACAAGACAUGCACAAGCAAACUAAUGCUAUGUCUGAUCCCACAGUGUCUUUAAAUCAAUGGCUCGCCUCAUGAUUCGUAUCCAGCCCCUUCUGAUGGAAAAAGUUGCUCAUGAUUACAGGGAUAGGAUUAUUCUUCUGCUGUGGACUGUAUUGCUGUUACACACUCCCCAUGAUGCUCCAGCGGAUCUCUUCUCUAAGUCCAGGGACUCUUGAGCACUUUCAACCCCGGGUGGAUAGGUUCAUUCCGCGGCCCCCUGACUAUGCCCCUUUUCAAUAGGAAGUAGCCAGAAUGAACCACUUGCCCGUUUUCCAUAGAGACAGAAUGAAACUUGACAGUGGGGAGUUUGCAACCAGGGGCCUCGGUUAUUUAAAUCACCCUCUAUUUUUCUUCCUUCC
rnacentral:lncRNA from 1 species